rnacentral:lncRNA from 1 species
UAUUUGAAAGGUGGUGGUUAAGGUUUGGGUUUAGUGACCCUAUCAUGUAUCGUUUCAUUUGACGAUUAAUAAAAAGUGUUCUAUUUUGUUCACCAAUAUAUACUAUACUAUGUAUUUUGUUACAUUCUAUUUGGGUUUGGGGUAUAUACUUGGGUUUUUGAUCUAUAAUUGGGUUUAAGGUUUAGUGAUUAUGAUUUAGGGUUUAGUAUUUGGAAAGUGGGGGUUGAGUUUUAGAUUUAGUGAUAACAGUUUAAAUUUUAGUAUUCAAAAUUUAGAUUUAGAUUUAGAGUUUAUAUAUGAGUUUAUGGAUUAUAUUUGGUUUUAGGGUUUACUGAUUAGGGUUUAGGGUUUAGUGAUUAUUGUUUAGGAUUUAUUAUUUAGAUGUUUGUGGAUUUGAGAUCAAAUUUAUUAUUUAGGGAUUAUGAUAUAGUUAAAUUUUUUAUACUAUUUGGAUGAUAUGAAAUAUAACAGUCCGAUUUAAUUGUGAGAAAUAAAUGGAAUAUACUAUUUAUUGUAAGAGUAAUUUAUUUUCAUGAACAGAUUUACUGAGCACAGAAACAUAUGAAGUAGUUAUGUAAA